rnacentral:rRNA from 1 species
GGACCAUCCUCCAAGGCUAAAUACUCCUGACUGACCGAUAGUGAACCAGUACCGUGAGGGAAAGGCGAAAAGAACCCCGGCGAGGGGAGUGAAAAAGAACCUGAAACCGUGUACGUACAAGCAGUGGGAGCACGCUUAGGCGUGUGACUGCGUACCUUUUGUAUAAUGGGUCAGCGACUUAUAUUCUGUAGCAAGGUUAACCGAAUAGGGGAGCCGAAGGGAAACCGAGUCUUAACUGGGCGUUAAGUUGCAGGGUAUAGACCCGAAACCCGGUGAUCUAGCCAUGGGCAGGUUGAAGGUUGGGUAACACUAACUGGAGGACCGAACCGACUAAUGUUGAAAAAUUAGCGGAUGACUUGUGGCUGGGGGUGAAAGGCCAAUCAAACCGGGAGAUAGCUGGUUCUCCCCGAAAGCUAUUUAGGUAGCGCCUCGUGAAUUCAUCUCCGGGGGUAGAGCACUGUUUCGGCAAGGGGGUCAUCCCGACUUACCAACCCGAUGCAAACUGCGAAUACCGGAGAAUGUUAUCACGGGAGACACACGGCGGGUGCUAACGUCCGUCGUGAAGAGGGAAACAACCCAGACCGCCAGCUAAGGUCCCAAAGUCAUGGUUAAGUGGGAAACGAUGUGGGAAGGCCCAGACAGCCAGGAUGUUGGCUUAGAAGCAGCCAUCAUUUAAAGAAAGCGUAAUAGCUCACUGGUCGAGUCGGCCUGCGCGGAAGAUGUAACGGGGCUAAACCAUGCACCGAAGCUGCGGCAGCGACGCUUAUGCGUUGUUGGGUAGGGGAGCGUUCUGUAAGCCUGUGAAGGUGUGCUGUGAGGCAUGCUGGAGGUAUCAGAAGUGCGAAUGCUGACAUAAGUAACGAUAAAGCGGGUGAAAAGCCCGCUCGCCGGAAGACCAAGGGUUCCUGUCCAACGUUAAUCGGGGCAGGGUGAGUCGACCCCUAAGGCGAGGCCGAAAGGCGUAGUCGAUGGGAAACAGGUUAAUAUUCCUGUACUUGGUGUUACUGCGAAGGGGGGACGGAGAAGGCUAUGUUGGCCGGGCGACGGUUGUCCCGGUUUAAGCGUGUAGGCUGGUUUUCCAGGCAAAUCCGGAAAAUCAAGGCUGAGGCGUGAUGACGAGGCACUACGGUGCUGAAGCAACAAAUGCCCUGCUUCCAGGAAAAGCCUCUAAGCAUCAGGUAACAUCAAAUCGUACCCCAAACCGACACAGGUGGUCAGGUAGAGAAUACCAAGGCGCUUGAGAGAACUCGGGUGAAGGAACUAGGCAAAAUGGUGCCGUAACUUCGGGAGAAGGCACGCUGAUAUGUAGGUGAAGCGACUUGCUCGUGGAGCUGAAAUCAGUCGAAGAUACCAGCUGGCUGCAACUGUUUAUUAAAAACACAGCACUGUGCAAACACGAAAGUGGACGUAUACGGUGUGACGCCUGCCCGGUGCCGGAAGGUUAAUUGAUGGGGUCAGCGCAAGCGAAGCUCUUGAUCGAAGCCCCGGUAAACGGCGGCCGUAACUAUAACGGUCCUAAGGUAGCGAAAUUCCUUGUCGGGUAAGUUCCGACCUGCACGAAUGGCGUAAUGAUGGCCAGGCUGUCUCCACCCGAGACUCAGUGAAAUUGAACUCGCUGUGAAGAUGCAGUGUACCCGCGGCAAGACGGAAAGACCCCGUGAACCUUUACUAUAGCUUGACACUGAACAUUGAGCCUUGAUGUGUAGGAUAGGUGGGAGGCUUAGAAGUGUGGACGCCAGUCUGCAUGGAGCCGACCUUGAAAUACCACCCUU